GAAAUAUAAAAAUGGCACAGUGGUUAGAGCGACCGCCUCGAAUGCGGGAUGUUGCGGGUUCGAUCCCCGGUCGAGUCA